GAAAUGCGAUAAGUAGUGUGAAUUGCAGAAUUCAGUGAAUCAUCGAAUCUUUGAACGCACAUUGCGCCCCUUGGUAUUCCAUGGGGCAUGCCUGUUCGAGCGUCAUUUGUACCCUCAAGCUCUGCUUGGUGUUGGGUGUUUGUCCCGUCUCCGCGCGUGGACUCGCCCCAAAGUGAUUGGCAGCCGGCGUACUGGUCCCGGAGCGCAGCACAUGUCGCGCAAACGAGUGCCUUGGUACGGCGGCGUCCAUAAGCCCCUCUCUCACGCUCUUGACCUCGGAUCAGAUAGGGAUACCCGCUGAACUUAAGC
rnacentral:misc_RNA from 1 species